rnacentral:rRNA from 1 species
AUUGAACGCUGGCGGAAUGCUUUACACAUGCAAGUCGAACGGCAGCACGGACUUCGGUCUGGUGGCGAGUGGCGAACGGGUGAGUAAUACAUCGGAACGUGCCCAGUCGUGGGGGAUAACGUAGCGAAAGCUACGCUAAUACCGCAUACGAUCUAAGGAUGAAAGCGGGGGAUCGCAAGACCUCGCGCGAUUGGAGCGGCCGAUGGCAGAUUAGGUAGUUGGUAGGGUAAAGGCCUACCAAGCCGACGAUCUGUAGCUGGUCUGAGAGGACGAACAGCCACACUGGGACUGAGACACGGCCCAGACUCCUACGGGAGGCAGCAGUGGGGAAUUUUGGACAAUGGACGCAAGUCUGAUCCAGCCAUUCCGCGUGCAGGAUGAAGGCCCUCGGGUUGUAAACUGCUUUUGUACAGAACGAAAAGGCUCUGGUUAAUACCUGGGGCUCAUGACGGUACUGUAAGAAUAAGCACCGGCUAACUACGUGCCAGCAGCCGCGGUAA